rnacentral:rRNA from 1 species
AUUGAACGCUGGCGGCAUGCUUUACACAUGCAAGUCGAACGGUAACAGGCCGCAAGGUGCUGACGAGUGGCGAACGGGUGAGUAAUGCAUCGGAACGUGCCCAGUCGUGGGGGAUAACUACUCGAAAGAGUAGCUAAUACCGCAUACGAUCUAUGGAUGAAAGCGGGGGACCGUAAGGCCUCGCGCGAUUGGAGCGGCCGAUGUCAGAUUAGGUAGUUGGUGGGGUAAAGGCUCACCAAGCCAACGAUCUGUAGCUGGUCUGAGAGGACGACCAGCCACACUGGAACUGGGACACGGCCCGGACUCCUACGGGAGGCAGCAGUGGGGAAUUUUGGACAAUGGGCGCAAGCCUGAUCCAGCAAUGCCGCGUGCAGGAAGAAGGCCUUCGGGUUGUAAACUGCUUUUGUACGGAACGAAACGGCUCUGGUUAAUACCCGGGGCUAAUGACGGUACCGUAAGAAUAAGCACCGGCUAACUACGU